rnacentral:rRNA from 1 species
CCCGCACAAGCAGCGGAGCGUGUGGUUUAAUUCGAUGCAACACGAAGAACCUUUACCUGGGUUUGACAUGUUGGUAGUAGUGAAGUGAAAGCGGAACGAUCCUUCGGGAAGCCAUCACAGGUGCUGCAUGGCUGUCGUCAGCUCGUGCCGUGAGAUGUUGGGUUAAGUCCCGCAACGAGCGCAACCCCUAUUGCUAGUUACCAUCAUUAAGUUGGGGACUCUAGCGAGACUGCCAGUGAUAAACUGGAGGAAGGUGGGGAUGACGUCAAAUCAUCAUGCCCCUUAUGACCUGGGCUACAAACGUGAUACAAUGGCUGGAACAAAGGGAUGCGAAGCAGUGAUGUGGAGCGAAACCCAUAAAAACAGUCUCAGUUCGGAUUGAAGUCUGCAACUCGACUUCAUGAAGUCGGAAUCGCUAGUAAUCGCGGAUCAGAACGCCGCGGUGAAUACGUUCUCGGGGUUU